rnacentral:pre_miRNA from 1 species
AAUAAGUUCAUUUUUUAGUUUUUGGAUUCAAUGUUUGACUCUUCGUCUUAUUUAAAAAUUUUUUGUGAUUAAUAUUUUAUUGUUACCUGAUGAUAAAAUAUGAAUAGUACUUUAUGUGUGACUAAUUAUAUAAAAUUUUAAAAUAGGAUGAAUAGUCGAAUGUUAGACAUAGAAAUCGAAAAAUAAAGUUAUU